AAUGAACAGCAAUAUUUAUUUGAAGAGAGUAGUUAAAGUGACAUAUUUGUUCCAUAUUUAACUUACAGAAUAGAGCUGGACAAUAUGACUAAACUCUAGAACAUAUAAACAGUAAAAUGAUUGUUUUUGUUUUUUUUAAAUAUGUUUUUUUUUUUAAUAUAAAUGUUAUUUUUUUACUUGACCUUACUUAAAUGGACUUUCAACAUUUGUUUGGCUACAUAUGACCGGUUUAACAUUUUAGGUAACUGGCUGCCUAGUUCCCAAAAAGUUCAGCUCUGUUCAUCUGGACAAAACUUUUUUCAGUGGGAGAAAUGUUUUGUCACUCAUUCAAGCGACUUCUUCAGUCUAGUUCUGGACUGAUAACAGUUUGGUUGGCUUGUAGUUGGAUAUCACUGACUGUUGUAGUCACUGUGGUUUCAAGCAGCCCAGGUAUUUCAAAUUACAAUAUAUGAAUUAACAUCAGUAUGCGAGUCACAUAUUGUAUUUUGGCAGACUGGCAUGUUGUCCAGCUCUACACCAUAAGUUGGCCAGGGUCAGGGGAACAGAGGAGUAGAUAGAAUUAAUUCAGUGAAGAGAAACAAUAAAUGAAACCAGUCCGUGAACAAACUUUCAUCAUCCCAGUGGGAGGACAAAGCAGUCAUGGUGUUAAGUAAAACCUCCUACAGGUGAAUCUGCAUGCAAUUCUCUCAGUACACACAACAGAUAGUUCAGAUCUGAAUGAAAACAGCUGAAAUGUACGCAACUGAAUGCACAAUCACAAUCAACAAUCAGCAUGAUGAAAUGAUCAGCAAGACUCAAAAAACGUGUUUUCUGUAGGACUGAAAAUUCAUAUAGCAAUGACUUAGAAUAAAAUUAUGUGAUUGUGCUUUUUUAACCAAAGUAGGACAAAUAAUACAAAGACAACAUAUACAUCACUUAGAAAACAUUAACACUGUUAUAUAAAAUUUGAAUUUGAAGCACUUCUGUGGCAGUAAACAAUUUACAAGAUGGCAGGUAAUGACUGUAUAUCAAUUAUAGCAAAGUAACAAGACAACUGACAAACAAAGAUCAUACUGGACCGCAUCAAGCAGUCAUUGUGGACAAUACUUUUGUAGACACUCACAACCGCCAUCAAAUGUGCAUUUAUAUUACUAGAGCCAGCCUCCAACAGGUCAGUGUCCUGGAGUCUGGUCAGCAAAAGAAAGCAAACAAUAAACAGUGCAUCAAAUAAAAGUCUAGUUACUUAAAGAUGAGAGCACUUUUUUCCUUUUUUUCCAACACUUAAUGAGAAAUCUGACUUUUAAAAAAACUUAUAUUGUGCAGUAUUUUUGGAGUCUUUUCCACUUUUUUAAAGGUUGUAGUCCUUUCUCUGAAGCAACAAUAGGAUAUUCCUGUUGAGCUCACAUUGC
ensembl:lncRNA